UACGUAGGGUGCAAGCGUUGUCCGGAAUUAUUGGGCGUAAAGAGCUCGUAGGCGGUCGGUCGCGUCUGCUGUGAAAACUCGGGGCUUAACCCCGGGCCUGCAGUGGGUACGGGCAGACUAGAGUGCGGUAGGGGAGACUGGAAUUCCUGGUGUAGCGGUGAAAUGCGCAGAUAUCAGGAGGACCACCGGUGGCGAAGGCGGGUCUCUGGGCCGUAACUGACGCUGAGGAGCGAAAGCGUGGGGAGCGAACAGG
rnacentral:rRNA from 1 species